rnacentral:tRNA from 1 species
GGGGGUAUAGCUCAGUUUGGGAGAGUGUUUGAAUGGCAUUCAAAAGGUCGGGGGUUCGAUCCCCCCUAUCUCCA